rnacentral:rRNA from 1 species
GAUGAACGCUGGCGGCGUGCCUAAUACAUGCAAGUCGAGCGAACAGACGAGGAGCUUGCUCCUCUGACGUUAGCGGCGGACGGGUGAGUAACACGUGGAUAACCUACCUAUAAGACUGGGAUAACUUCGGGAAACCGGAGCUAAUACCGGAUAAUAUAUUGAACCGCAUGGUUCAAUAGUGAAAGACGGUUUUGCUGUCACUUAUAGAUGUAUCCGCGCCGCAUUAGCUAGUUGGUAAGGUAACGGCUUACCAAGGCAACGAUGCGUAGCCGACCUGAGAGGGGGUUCGGCCACACUGGAACUGAGACACGGUCAAGACUCCUACGGGAGGCAGCAGUAGGGAAUCUUCCGCAAUGGGCGAAAGCUUGACGGAGCAACGCCGCGUGAGUGAUGAAGGUCUUCGGAUCGUAAAACUCUGUUAUUAGGGAAGAACAAAUGUGUAAGUAACUAUGCACGUCUUGACGGUACCUAAUCAGAAAGCCACGGCUAACUACGUG